UGAACAAUUAUUCAAGGAAAGUAAAAUCUAAGUAAAGGCAAAUGCUCCAAUCUUUAGGAAAAGCAAAACAAGCAUAAUAUAUUUGGCACAUUUGUAAGACUAAUAUGAACAUUCCUUUGGAAGAGAUAAAAUCCGUAAUUAAUUACAAGAAAAGUUUGAAGUGAACAUUUUAACCCUUCUAUAUUGCUCAUCAUAGGGAUGGUGUCAAUGGGGAGGCUAGUGGUAGUACCCGGCACUAUUUGACCCAACUAUUCGGUGUAGGGCAUAUUAGGGACGGCACAAGAGGGAGGCUAAUGGUAGUACCUCGUGCCCCUUCCAACUCCACCGGAUAGGGAGCAAAUAGAAUAUAGAGCAUAGAAAAGUAAAACCGAAAAAUAAAUGAAGAUAAUCAAAAUGCUCAUUGAAUGGUUAAAGAAAGAAAUUAAAAAUUUGGGGAAUGAAUGAUAAAUAAAUGAAAAUAUAUAAGAAGGUUGUAAAAAUCAAAUGAAGUUUCAAUCACUUGAAAACACACCUUAAGGAUAAAAUCAGUGCUAAAUUGUAUUUAAAUAAAGGAAAUUUUAUUUGAAAAGAAUUGAUUUUGAUCCAUGACAUGCUUGUUAUGUUUUGCAUACUUUGAAUUAUAUGUUUUCAAUAUUCAGUUUGAAAUGCUCCAUGCUUGAAUAAUUUGAUUGAAACAUGUUUCUACCAAUAGCAAAUUUAUUUUUCUUUUUAUGACACUCAUAAAUUGAAAUAGGCUUUAACUUUGUACACAAGUUUUGACUUCGAAAUAACUUGUGUUCUAAAGCCUAAUGAAAACUAUUUUCACUUGCAUUCUAUGCUCAUCAAUGAUAUUUUGGAUUUCUCUUGUACUCUUUUGAUCAAUUUUUUUUUAUUAAAUCGGUUCCAAUGCUUGAAUAUUUAAAAAAUUACAUAAGAAUUUUUCUAAAAAUAUUUUUGAAAGAAAUUUUAGAUUUGUCGUUCAUGAUCAUCUUUAAAAUCUGAAAGUUGAAUAUAUUUACAAAAAGAAGAAGAAAAGGAUACUUCUAUUUUAAUGAAUAUCUUCUAAAAAAUAAAAGAAAAGGAUAAUCUAAAUUUGCAAAUUAGGCAGAAUGAAUCGAUUAUAAUUUAUCUUUUAACUUGCCUAACAUUAGUACAUAAUGUCCUCCAAUUUGUACCAAAAUUCAAUAUGAAUUACAAAGAUUCUGGAUGUGCUCUAAUGUUUUUGAAAUAUGUGUUUUCAAUCUUAAUAAUUUAAGAUGAGCUACAAUGUAGAAGAUGCAUAUCUCAAAUUAUAAUCCUGAAAGCUUCCUUGAAAAUUUUUAUGAAAUUCAGAAUCUGAUUUUGUAUAAAAGCUUAAACUUAAUUUAAAAAUGCUUCUAUCGUUGCAUUUUUGUAACUUUCAUUAUAUGCUUCAACGAUUGCAUCAUUUUGGGGAAUAACUCAAUAUGAUUCCUAGAUGAAAACUACGGUUUAAGAAAAAUAGAAUUAAUUUUGAUGCCUUGAUUGUUUGCUCCGAUACGCAUAUGAAACAUAUCAUUUUCUAUCUUAUAAGUUUAUUAAAAUUGGUCUAAAUGAUGUAUUUUUCAAUAAUCUUGAUUGCGAACAAAUAUUUCUA
rnacentral:lncRNA from 1 species